AAGCACUGUCUUUGAACCUUUGAAUUGCCCUCCUGUGGCUUCAUUGGCCAAGCAACAGUGCAAUAGUAAAUGUCUUGUUAUAUAACUGGUGCGUUUUGGACCAAUCCUAAGAUGCCCUUUUCAAAGCAAGCAACAAUA